ACGUAUCUCUCCUCGGUUGGAAGAGCUGAAUUCAUUGCGCUGUAGGCUUACAAUGUACAACGUGCAUGUGUGUGUGUGAUGCUAGGUUAAAAGUGUCACUCAGAAUGUCAUUCCAGUCAUUCCUUAAAGGGAAGGUACCAUGAAAAAAUAAAGUUUUAUUUUUUUGCCUUAAAAUGUUCUUUGUGGGGUAUAAAAUAGCCCUGAGACAAAAAAAUAUUUUUCUGAAAAUUAACUUUUCAGAGAAACAGGACUGUAGAAACACAAUUUCUGGCUUAAAAUUUUGCUUCCUGUUGUGGUCAAAUGUGGGCGCGGUCAAACGUGACGUCAGAGUAGGCAUUUGUGCUGCAUGUAAAAUGUAUUCUGUGUGUGUUGAGUGUGUUGCAGCUGGUUGCUCCUUUACAUCUAGCAGUCAUACAGUUCUCUCAGUUGAAAUAUGAGUGGGAAAAACAAGUCCUAUGUACCAGAGCUCACUGAAAAGCAACAGAAUCCUGUUUUUGUGUACAGUGAAAACUCACAGAUAUGACCUCCCUUGCUGCUCAGUUUGGGAUCCAAAAGAGGAAGAAGCUGAGAUCUGAGGUCUGGAGCCAUUCUAACUGUUUUCUAUAAGGCAGUUAUUCAGAAAUAAACUGCCAUAUCGUCCUGUAAAAAGAGAGGCCCUGAGAUCAGAGUCAUGGAAUGGAGAGAUAGCCCUAUAGAGAAGUGCCCGGUCGGCCGCUGUAUACGGAAAAGCGAGAACGGAGACAGUUGAUACUUGAUGCUUUACAAGAGACAACCUC